rnacentral:rRNA from 1 species
CCCUUAGAUGUUCUGGGCCGCACGCGCGCUACACUGACGCGUUCAACGAGUCUCCUUGGCCGAGAGGCCUGGGUAAUCUUGUGAACGUGUGUCGUGAUAGGGAUAGAUUAUUGCAAUUAUUAAUCUUGAACGAGGAAUUCCUAGUAAACGCAGAUCAUCAAUCUGCAUUGAUUACGUCCCUGCCCUUUGUACACACCGCCCGUCGCACCUACCGAUUGGAUGGUCCGGUGAGGCCUCGGGAUUGUGGCCGGUGCAUUCAUUUGUGUCGGUUGCGAGAACUUGUCCAAACCUUAUCAUCUAGAGGAAGGUGAAGUCGUAACA